rnacentral:rRNA from 1 species
UGUGAGACAGGUGCUGCAUGGCUGUCGUCAGCUCGUGUUGUGAAAUGUUGGGUUAAGUCCCGCAACGAGCGCAACCCUUAUCCUUUGUUGCCAGCGGUCGGCCGGGAACUCAAAGGAGACUGCCAGUGAUAAACUGGAGGAAGGUGGGGAUGACGUCAAGUCAUCAUGCCCUUACGACCAGGGCUACACACGUGCUACAAUGGCAUAUACAAAGAGAAGCGACCUCGCGAGAGCAAGCGGACCUCAUAAAGUAUGUCGUAGUCCGGAUUGGAGUCUGCAACUCGACUCCAUGAAGUCGGAAUCGCUAGUAAUCGUAGAUCAGAAUGCUACGGUGAAUACGUUCCCGGGCCUUGUACACACCGCCCGUCACACCAUGGGAGUGGGUUGCAAAAGAAGUAGGUAGCUUAACCUUCGGGAGGGCGCUUACCACUUU